rnacentral:rRNA from 1 species
GGCGUGGAUUAGGCAUGCAAGUCGAACGCGAAAGGUCACCUUCGGGUGAACGAGUAGAGUGGCGAACUGGUGAGUAACAGGUGGGUAAUGUGCCUCUUAGUGUGGGAUAACCUCUGGAAACAGUGGCUAAUACCUCAUGUGGCACGGAUAACGUUGGUUAACCGUGUUAAAGACUUCGGUCGCUAAGAGAGCAGCCCGCCCCCGAUUAGCUUGUUGGUAGGGUAACGGCCUACCAAGGCUCCGAUCGGUAGGUGGCCUGAGAGGGUGGUCACUCACACUGGGACUGAGAUACGGCCCAGACUCCUACGGGGGGCAGCAGUCUAGAAGCUUCCACAAUGGACGAAAGUCUGAUGGAGCGACGCCGCGUGUGGGAUGACAGCCGUGAGGUUGUAAACCACUGUCAGCAGGGAAGAAUGCCUUGAUGGUGAAUCAGGGAGAGACGGUACCUGCAGAGGAAGCCCCGGCUAACUCCGUGCCAGCAGCCGCGGUAAUACGGAGGGGGCAAACGUUGUUCGGAUUUACUGGGCGUAAAGGGUGUCUAGGCGGUUCGAUUAGUCUGGUGUGAAAUAUCCUCGCUCAACGAGGAAGACGCAUUGGAAACUGUCGAGCUCGAGAGUGGAAGAGGCAGGUGGAAUUCCUGGUGUAGCGGUGGAAUGCGUAGAUAUCAGGAAGAACACUCGUGGCGAAGGCGGCCUGCUGGUCCAUUUCUGACGCUGAAGCACGAAAGCCAGGGGAGCGAACGGGAUUAGAUACCCCGGUAGUCCUGGCCGUAAACGUUGAACACUGGAUGUCGGGGGUAUCGACCCCCUCGGUGUCGGAGCUAACGCGUUAAGUGUUCCGCCUGGGGAGUACGACCGCAAGGUUGAAACUCAAAGGAAUUGACGGGGGCCCGCACAAGCGGUGGAGGAUGUGGUUUAAUUCGACGCAACGCGAAGAACCUUACCUGGGCUUAAACCGCAGGGUAAACCCUCUGAAAGGAGGGCUGCUUCGGCAAUCCUGUAGAGGUGCUGCAUGGCUGUCGUCAGCUCGUGUCGUGAGAUGUUGGGUUAAGUCCCGCAACGAGCGCAACCCUCAUCCGAUGUUGCCAGCGUAAAGUCGGGAACUCUUCGGAAACUGCCCGUGCAAGCGGGAGGAAGGUGGGGAUGACGUCAAGUCAGCAUGGCCCUUACGCCUGGGGCUACACACAUGCUACAAUGGAUGUAAACAAUGGGCAGCAAGACCGCGAGGUGGAGCAAAUCUCAAAAAUACAUCCUCAGUUCGGAUUGCAGUCUGCAACUCGACUGCAUGAAGUCGGAAUCGCUAGUAACCGCAGGUCAGCUAAACUGCGGUGAAUACGUUCCCGGGCCUUGUACACACCGCCCGUCACGCCACCUGAGUUGUCUGCACCCGAAGUCGAUGGCCCAACCGCAAGGGGGGAGUCGCCGAAGGUGUGG